UUCUCUUUUCAAGCUUUUCCCUUUAACACCCUCCACCCCGCCAAGCUCUUAACUUAAUCCUCAUCUUCUCUCUCUCUCCUUAUUCAAAUUUCUCAACCCCUGAACAGUUGGGUUGUUGAAUUCCUGAAUGAGUCUCGUUUUAACGUCUUCUUGAUGCAUACACAUUGUGGGUGGAGGUCUCUUCUGGAUAGUACUGGAAAUUGUGGUAACUGUGAUUGAUUGUUUGAAUAGUUAUGGCAAAUUCAAAGUUGCCAGUCGAGCAAAAUUUGGAUUCAUCAUUAGUGGCAGAUGGGUAUGAGGGGAUUGGACAUGAUCACAAUUUGGCUAUGGAUUCGAGUCAUAAUUCAGGUUCGGGUGACUUGCAUAUGGGUACUCACGGUAACCCCAACUUGGGUUGGGAACAUGCAAAUGGUGAUGGACUAGAGCUUGGUUAUACCAAGGAGAAUCACAUAGCUCCUCAAAAUCCAUACAUUCAUCAGGUUAAAGAUGAUGGAGAAUAUUUAGAUAGAGUUGAUAAUCCUGCUGGUGUUAACAACCUUAAUGGCGAUA